GAACCUAGAACAUGGAAGCAAAGUCACCUGCCCCAGGCCACAUUUAGAGCAAAGCACAGCCCGUCUGACUCAGGGCCAGGUGCAGAAUCAUGCGCCAUACUGCCCUACUUGCCCCAGGCCCAUUCUGGGUGCUCCCUCGAGGAGCCCUGGAGCCUGCAGUGAAUCAGGAAGACGGAUGCAUAAACAGGCCUCUGGAUUCGCUCUCUGCAGCACCCCAGGGCGCUCUGGCCUUUCAAGUGCAGCCUCUGUGAAUAUGACUCAGGCAACCAAGCAAGCCGCCGGGGCCGCCUCCACCCGCACGAGCUGACACAGCAAGUCCAGACUCCUGGUUCCCAUUCUCGUCUACGAGAAGGAAUUUCCCAAGGACAUGACUUUCACGUGGGAAACUUGGCAAGACGGUGAACUCAACCUGCUGGAAUUCAGCAACCUGCACGAUUAAUUUCAUAUUUGAUUUUUGUGCACAUCCUGUGGUUCUGAGAAAUGAGAGAUUUAUUUAGGGUUGUCAUAGCUCAGAGUUAAAGGACUGAGCUUAGAAUUCCAAACGCUCCAGUGCACUCAGCAGAACCCACUGUGGUCCCUGCAGUCAUCAUCGCUGCUGUGGCAGUCAGGGCUGCAGCUACUUGGGCUCCCAAGGCACUUGCAUCAGUUGACACUUCGUCACGAUCAACCACAGGUGAUGGUUUGACCAAUUGUGCUGCCCCUGAGUGCCAUGAAUUCCUGAUGCCCACUUCCCACUGGCAAAGAGCUCAGUCAGCACCGUGCUCGAACCCGGGGCCACAACCAACCCACUUCCAAGAAUCUCAUCUCGGUGGGUCUGUCUCUUGGGAUUACACCAAGUUUCCAUCAUCCAGGAUCCAAACAAGAGACAGAAACCACAUUGGAUUUGAACAGGGC